rnacentral:rRNA from 1 species
AUUGAACGCUGGCGGCAUGCUUUACACAUGCAAGUCGAACGGCAGCGCGGGGCAACCUGGCGGCGAGUGGCGAACGGGUGCGUAAUAUAUCGGAACGUACCCAGAAGUUGGGGAUAACGUAGCGCAAGUUACGCUAAUACCGCAUACGAUCUACGAUUUAAAGCAGGGGACCGCAAGGCCUUAUGCUUUUGGUGCGGUCGGUAUCUGAUUAGCUAGUUGGCGAGGUAAAGGCUCACCAAGGCGACGAUCAGUAGCUGGUCUGAGAGGACGACCAGCCACACUGGAACUGAGACACGGUCCAGACUCCUACGGGGGGCAGCAGUGGGGAAUUUUGGACAAUGGGCGCAAGCCUGAUCCAGCAAUGCCGCGUGAGUGAAGAAGGCCUUCGGGUUGUAAAGCUCUUUUGUCAGGGAAGAAACGGUAGGGGCUAAUAUCCUUUGCUAAUGACGGUACCUGAAGAAUAAGCACCGGCUAACUACGUG